rnacentral:rRNA from 1 species
AGUGAACGCUGGCGGUAGGCCUAACACAUGCAAGUCGAACGGCAGCACAGUAAGAGCUUGCUCUUACGGGUGGCGAGUGGCGGACGGGUGAGGGAUACAUCGGAAUCUACUUUUUCGUGGGGGAUAACGUAGGGAAACUUACGCUAAUACCGCAUACGCCCUACGGGUGAAAGCAUGGGAUCUUCGGACCUUGCGCGAUUGAAUGAGCCGAUGUCGGAUUAGCUAGUUGGCGGGGUAAAGGCCCACCAAGGCGACGAUCCGUAGCUGGUCUGAGAGGAUGAUCAGCCACACUGGAACUGAGACACGGUCCAGACUCCUACGGGAGGCAGCAGUGGGGAAUAUUGGACAAUGGGCGCAAGCCUGAUCCAGCCAUACCGCGUGGGUGAAGAAGGCGUUCGGGUUGUAAAGCCCUUUUGUUGGGAAAGAAAAGCAGCAGGUUAAUACCCCGCUGUUCUGACGGUACCCAAAGAAUAAGCACCGGCUAACUUCGUG